GACAAGAAGCUGAUGUCAGGAGGGCCAAGUCAAGGGGACGGGCAGGAUCAUGGUGGGUGUGAGAAGAAGAUUCACGAUGAGAUGGAUUUUACAGCUCCGGGACCUGGAGGUUGGAAGAACUCUUGGGCGUCACCUUCAUGUUUAGCUCCAUCCACAGACCCAUCGCUGAGCAUCAACAAGCCCUUUAAGGAAGACUUUUCUAAAUAUUCAAGAC